UUUUAUUUUUAUUUUUAUUUUAAUUACUAUUUUGUUUUCGCGGAGUGGUGAAAAUAAUUCAUUGCGUCGAUGGGUGCUGACGUCACAUGCGCGCCAGAUCAUUGAAGAGAGAGACGUGAGCCACAUGUGUGAGCUCUCGUUAAUCAAAUCCAUCGUCAUUAAUAUUGUUCUAAAUCGAUGUCUGAACUGUUUCAUUGUAUUAGUUGGGAUUGUUUCAACGCUCUGGGAUCGUGUUUGAGUUGCGCCGUGAGGGAGAAAGCGCUGGAUUUCCACUGGAGGAAUUGCGUCAUCAGGGACUCUUCACUCAAGUGACUCUUCACUCAAGAAACUCUUCACGUUCGGCUUUCAUCACUGCACGGAGUUUAGUAGGCACUUACGCAAACAAACAAACCCAACUGAGUCAUUUUCACUUUCACGCGAACUGAGUCAUUUUCACUUUCACGCGAACUGAGUCAUCUCCAUCUUCUCAAUGAACUGAGUCACAUUUCGAACAAAUUGAACCGAGUCACUUUACGAACAAAUUGAACUGAGUCACAUUCCAAUGAAUCUGAACUUAGUCAUUUGCAUGGCACUUAUACUGCUGUGAACACGAACUGAAUUUUCUUUAUUUUUUAUUUUAUUUUUCUUUUAUAUAUUUUAGUGUCCUUUGAUUGGUCAUUGUUUUUUUUUGUUUUUUUCGAAAUGGUGAUUUGUCAAAUGGGAUUCUAAUGUGAUGUGUGAAAAGCGAUUCGUGCGCAAUGACAUUCAAGUAAACAGUUACUGU